AAUCACGCUCGGCCUUCUCCUCUCCCGGGCGGCGCUCUCCCUGUGGCGGGGACCUGGGACGAGGGGGUGGGGUGGGGAGGGGAAGGCAGGAGGGGGCUGCCCUUCCGUUGCCCAUGCUAAAGGUUCCUGUGUAGGAAGCUGGACGCAGCCUGCUGGACUAGUAAUCUUCCUCCUCGCUGGGGCGCGGGGCACUGAAGGGAGGGAGAGACUUUCUCCUCCUUCCUGUUCCCCGGGACAGCUGUGCUCUCCGAAUCCUUCCCUUCUUCCCAGCCCACUUAUUCCCCGCUCGCCAAGCAUCUUCAACUAAAGAUGUCAAAGCACAAGCUCACUUCCCACGGAAGGUAGCAAUUACUAUUAUCUACUUGACAGCUACAAGAACCUAGGCACAGAGGUUAAGUGCUCUGCAAAUACUACCAGCCAGUGGUGGUUUUCCUGCCAGAACCAAGUUCUUGCCUUCCAGUGGACACCAUUGAUCUCUCAAGAUGAUUCUUUAAGUUAAAAAGAAAUGUGAAAUCUCUUAGGCCAAGAAGAACAACCUGAGGACUCUCUUUCUGGAGGUAAUUGAACU
rnacentral:lncRNA from 10 species